ACUCAAAGGAAUUGACGGGGGCCCGCACAAGCGGUGGAGCAUGUGGUUCAAUUCGACGCAACGCGAAGAACCUUACCUGGGCUCGAACGGCUCACGAUCGACUGUGGAAACACGGUUUUCCCGCAAGGGACGGGAGUCGAGGUGCUGCAUGGCUGUCGUCAGCUCGUGUCGUGAGAUGUUGGGUUAAGUCCCGCAACGAGCGCAACCCUCGUCCUGUGUUGCUAAUCCGCAAGGAUGCACUCUCAGGAGACUGCCGGCGAUAAGCUGGAGGAAGGUGGGGAUGACGUCAAGUCCUCAUGGCCUUUAUGUCCAGGGCUACACACGUGCUACAAUGGACGGUACAAUACGUGGCAAACCCGCGAGGGGGAGCAAAUCGGAAAAAACCGUUCUCAGUUCGGAUCGCAGGCUGCAACUCGCCUGCGUGAAGCUGGAAUCGCUAGUAAUGGCGUAUCAGAAUGACGCCGUGAAUACGUUCCCGGGCCUUGCACACACCGCCCGU
rnacentral:rRNA from 1 species